CAGAGGAAAAGCAGCUUGGUUUGCGGC
rnacentral:piRNA from 1 species